rnacentral:lncRNA from 1 species
CUAGUGAAAACAUUUUAAUUUUUUUUAUCAAAUAAGCUAUUCUGACAUUGUUUGAUUUCUGCAUGGACAUGGUCUUCUUGAGACAUGAAAAAGAGAUAUUCCUCAGAGAUGUGAUUUUCUCUGCCCAUAUUGUUACUUUCUUAAUUUAGACAAGUUUCUUGAUUUUCAUACUAGAAAAGAGUGUCAAUUGAUGCGAUUCAUCUUUACACUUUUUGAUGUUGCAAGGAACAUGAGUUUAAAUGGACAUCUCUUGGAUCCUUCGAGGGUGUUGGAUAUUGUUUGUGUUGGGAGCAUUAAUGGUUGUUUAUUGAUUGAUAUCAUGACUUUUUCCAUGGGUUGUUGCCAAAGUUGAUAGAUCAAGACAAUGAUAGGGAAGAAAAGCCAAAAACAAGAAGGGGAAUGUAUAAAGAAGAAAACAAAGAA